rnacentral:rRNA from 1 species
GACGAACGCUGGCGGCGUGCUUAACACAUGCAAGUCGAACGGAAAGGCCCUGCUUUUGUGGGGUGCUCGAGUGGCGAACGGGUGAGUAACACGUGAGUAACCUGCCCUUGACUUUGGGAUAACUUCAGGAAACUGGGGCUAAUACCGGAUAGGAGCUCCUGCUGCAUGGUGGGGGUUGGAAAGUUUCGGCGGUUGGGGAUGGACUCGCGGCUUAUCAGCUUGUUGGUGGGGUAGUGGCUUACCAAGGCUUUGACGGGUAGCCGGCCUGAGAGGGUGACCGGCAACAUUGGGACUGAGAUACGGCCCAGACUCCUACGGGAGGCAGCAGUGGGGAAUAUUGCACAAUGGGCGGAAGCCUGAUGCAGCAACGCCGCGUGCGGGAUGACGGCCUUCGGGUUGUAAACCGCUUUCGCCUGUGACGAAGCGUGAGUGACGGUAAUGGGUAAAGAAGCACCGGCUGACUACGUG